rnacentral:rRNA from 1 species
AGCAGCCGCGGUAAUUCCAGCUCCAAUAGCGUAUAUUAAAGUUGUUGCAGUUAAAAAGCUCGUAGUUGAAUUUCGGGACUAAUAUGUUGGUCGUGCCUCGGUACGCACUGAUAUUUUUGGUUUCUCCCUUCUGACGAACCUUGAUGUCAUUAAUUUGGUGUCUUGGGAAAUCAGGACUGUUACUUUGAAAAAAUUAGAGUGUUUAAAGCAGGCUCACGCUUGAAUACAUUAGCAUGGAACAAUGAAAUAGGACGUUUGAUUCUAUUUUGUUGGUUUCUAGGAUUGACGUAAUGAUUAAUAGGGAUAGUUGGGGGCAUUAGUAUUCAAUUGUCAGAGGUGAAAUUCUUGGAUUUAUUGAAGACUAACUACUGCGAAAGCAUUUGCCAAGGAUGUUUUCAUUAAUCAAGAACGAAAGUUAGGGGAUCGAAGACGAUCAGAUACCGUCGUAGUCUUAACCAUAAACUAUGCCGACUAGGGAUCGGAUGAUGUUAAUUUUUUAAUGACUCAUUCGGCGCCUUGC